rnacentral:rRNA from 1 species
AUUGAACGCUGGCGGCAUGCCUUACACAUGCAAGUCGAACGGUAACGGGCCUUCGGGUGCCGCCGAGUGGCGAACGGGUGCGUAAUACAUCGGAACGUGCCCGAUCGUGGGGGAUAACGAGGCGAAAGCUUUGCUAAUACCGCAUACGAUCUACGGAUGAAAGCAGGGGACAGCAAGGCCUUGCGCGGACGGAGCGGCCGAUGGCAGAUUAGGUAGUUGGUGGGAUAAAGGCUUACCAAGCCGACGAUCUGUAGCUGGUCUGAGAGGAUGAUCAGCCACACUGGGACUGAGACACGGCCCAGACUCCUACGGGAGGCAGCAGUGGGGAAUUUUGGACAAUGGGCGCAAGCCUGAUCCAGCCAUGCCGCGUGCAGGAUGAAGGCCUUCGGGUUGUAAACUGCUUUUGUACGGAACGAAAAGCCUUCGUUUAAUACAGGGGUGUCAUGACGGUACCGUAAGAAUAAGCACCGGCUAACUACGUG